rnacentral:rRNA from 1 species
GCAUAAGAUUGUAGUAUCGCAUGAUAUAGCAUUAAAGGAGCAAUUCGCUAUAAGAUGGACCCGCGUCGCAUUAGCUAGUUGGUGAGGUAAUGGCUCACCAAGGCGACGAUGCGUAGCCGACCUGAGAGGGUGAUCGGCCACAUUGGGACUGAGACACGGCCCAGACUCCUACGGGAGGCAGCAUG